rnacentral:tRNA from 1 species
CCUGAUGGCUCAGACAGUAAAGAAUCUGCCUGCAAUGCAGGAGACCCAGGUUCGAUCCCUGGGUCAGGA